GGACACGAGCCGCCGCUACGAGAACAAGGCAGGCAGCUUCAUCACCGGCAUCGACGUCACCUCCAAGGAAGCAAUCCAGAAGAAGGAGCAGCGGGCCAAGCGCUUCCAUUUCCGAGCCGAAGUCAACCUGGCCCAGAGGAAUGUGGCCUUGGACAGAGACAUGAUGAAGAAAGCGAUCCCCAAGGUGAGGCUGGAGACCAUCUACGUCUGUGGAGUCGACGAGAUGAGUACCCAGGACAUCUUCGCCUACUUCAAGGAGUAUCCCCCCGCCCACAUCGAGUGGCUGGACGAUACUUCCUGUGAGUGCUGGCCCCUGAAGACACGCUGCCUGGUGAAGGCCUGAAGCCCAGCUAAACUGAUAGCUCGGACGUCCAGGCCCCUUGCCGAGAGAAGGUCCAUCAAACCCUUUUAGAGCCAGCUCGAGGCGAGGGUGCCGGGGCUGAGGCGCACUCACAACAGGCCAGGAGGCGCUGCUUGUCCCAGUCGUGGCUGCCCCGGGCACCAGCCCUGGGAUCUGGGGGGUGUUCUCCUGCCAUGGGAGGGGUCAC